rnacentral:rRNA from 1 species
UAGGGAAUCUUCGGCAAUGGGGGGAACCCUGACCGAGCAACGCCGCGUGAGUGAAGAAGGUUUUCGGAUCGUAAAGCUCUGUUGUUAAGGAAGAACGAGUGUGAGAAUGGAAAGUUCAUGCUGUGACGGUACUUAACCAGAAAGGGACGGCUAACUACGUGCCAGCAGCCGCGGUAAUACGUAGGUCCCGAGCGUUGUCCGGAUUUAUUGGGCGUAAAGCGAGCGCAGGCGGUUAGAAAAGUCUGAAGUGAAAGGCAGUGGCUCAACCAUUGUAUGCUUUGGAAACUGUUUAACUUGAGUGCAGAAGGGGAGAGUGGAAUUCCAUGUGUAGCGGUGAAAUGCGUAGAUAUAUGGAGGAACACCGGUGGCGAAAGCGGCUCUCUGGUCUGUAACUGACGCUGAGGCUCGAAAGCGUGGGGAGCGAACAGG